rnacentral:rRNA from 1 species
UACGAAGGGGGCUAGCGUUGCUCGGAAUCACUGGGCGUAAAGCGCACGUAGGCGGAUUGCUAAGUCAGGGGUGAAAUCCUGGAGCUCAACUCCAGAACUGCCUUUGAUACUGGUGAUCUUGAGUUCGGGAGAGGUGAGUGGAACUGCGAGUGUAGAGGUGAAAUUCGUAGAUAUUCGCAAGAACACCAGUGGCGAAGGCGGCUCACUGGCCCGGUACUGACGCUGAGGUGCGAAAGCGUGGGGAGCAAACAGG